GACGAACGCUGGCGGCGUGGAUUAGGCAUGCAAGUCGAACGGUAUCAUCCUUUCGGGGGUGAGAGAGUGGCGAACUGGUGAGUAACACGUAGGUUAUCUACCCUCAAGACGGGGACAACCCAGGGAAACUUGGGCUAAUACCGGAUGUGAGCAACUUUUAGUUGUUUGAAAGGUGGCGUAAGCUGUCGCUUGGGGAUGAGCCUGCGUCCUAUUAGUUAGUUGGUGAGGUAACGGCUCACCUAGGCAAUGAUAGGUAGGCGGCCUUAACGGGUGGUCGCCCACACUGGGAUUGAGAUACGGCCCAGACUCCUACGGGAGGCAGCAGUCGAGAAUAGUCUACAAUGGUCGGAAGACUGAUAGUGCGACGCCGCGUGAACGAUGAAUCCCUUCGGGGUGUAAAGUUCUUUUAUAUGUGAGCAGUGCUUCUUAUAUUAACAGUAUGGGGAGAGAGAUAUUAGCAUUAUGAAUAAGCAACGGCUAACUCCGUGCCAGCAGCCGCGGU
rnacentral:rRNA from 1 species